GACGAACGCUGGCGGCGUGCUUAACACAUGCAAGUCGAACGGAAAGGCCCUGCUUUUGUGGGGUGCUCGAGUGGCGAACGGGUGAGUAACACGUGAGUAACCUGCCCUUGACUUUGGGAUAACUUCAGGAAACUGGGGCUAAUACCGGAUAGGAGCUCCUGCUGCAUGGUGGGGGUUGGAAAGUUUCGGCGGUUGGGGAUGGACUCGCGGCUUAUCAGCUUGUUGGUGGGGUAGUGGCUUACCAAGGCUUUGACGGGUAGCCGGCCUGAGAGGGUGACCGGCCACAUUGGGACUGAGAUACGGCCCAGACUCCUACGGGAGGCAGCAGUGGGGAAUAUUGCACAAUGGGCGGAAGCCUGAUGCAGCAACGCCGCGUGCGGGAUGACGGCCUUCGGGUUGUAAACCGCUUUCGCCUGUGACGAAGCGUGAGUGACGGUAAUGGGUAAAGAAGCACCGGCUAACUACGUGCCAGCAGCCGCGGUGAUACGUAGGGUGCGAGCGUUGUCCGGAUUUAUUGGGCGUAAAGGGCUCGUAGGUGGUUGAUCGCGUCGGAAGUGUAAUCUUGGGGCUUAACCCUGAGCGUGCUUUCGAUACGGGUUGACUUGAGGAAGGUAGGGGAGAAUGGAAUCCCUGGUGGAGCGGUGGAAUGCGCAGAUAUCAGGAGGAACACCAGUGGCGAAGGCGGCUCUCUGGGCCUUUCCUGACGCUGAGGAGCGAAAGCGUGGGGAGCGAACAGGCUUAGAUACCCUGGUAGUCCACGCUGUAAACGGUGGGUACUAGGUGUGGGGUCCAUUCCACGGGUUCCGUGCCGUAGCUAACGCUUUAAGUACCCCGCCUGGGGAGUACGGCCGCAAGGCUAAAACUCAAAGGAAUUGACGGGGCCCCGCACAAGCGGCGGAGCAUGCGGAUUAAUUCGAUGCAACGCGUAGAACCUUACCUGGGUUUGACAUGGAUCGGGAGUGCUCAGAGAUGGGUGUGCCUCUUUUGGGGUCGGUUCACAGGUGGUGCAUGGCUGUCGUCAGCUCGUGUCGUGAGAUGUUGGGUUAAGUCCCGCAACGAGCGCAACCCUUGUUCACUGUUGCCAGCACGUUAUGGUGGGGACUCAGUGGAGACCGCCGGGGUCAACUCGGAGGAAGGUGGGGAUGACGUCAAGUCAUCAUGCCCCUUAUGUCCAGGGCUUCACGCAUGCUACAAUGGCUGGUACAGAGAGUGGCGAGCCUGUGAGGGUGAGCGAAUCUCGGAAAGCCGGUCUCAGUUCGGAUUGGGGUCUGCAACUCGACCUCAUGAAGUCGGAGUCGCUAGUAAUCGCAGAUCAGCAACGCUGCGGUGAAUACGUUCCCGGGGCU
rnacentral:rRNA from 1 species